GACGAACGCUGGCGGCGUGCUUAACACAUGCAAGUCGAGCGGUAAGGCCCUUUCGGGGGUACACGAGCGGCGAACGGGUGAGUAACACGUGGGUGACCUGCCCUCAGCUCUGGGAUAAGCCUGGGAAACCGGGUCUAAUACUGGAUAUGACUCCAUGACGCAUGUUGGUGGGGUGGAAAGCCUUGUGCGGCUGAGGAUGGGCCCGCGGCCUAUCAGCUUGUUGGGUGGGGUGAGGCCUACCAAGGCGACGACGGGUAGCCGGCCUGAGAGGGCGACCGGCCACACUGGGACUGAGGCACGGCCCAGACUCCUACGGGAGGCAGCAGGUGGGGAAUCUUGCGCAAUGGGCGAAAGCCUGACGCAGCGACGCCGCGUGAGGGAUGACGGCCUCGG
rnacentral:rRNA from 1 species